rnacentral:misc_RNA from 1 species
GUAGGUGAACCUGCGGAAGGAUCAUUCAUAAUAAGUGUUUUAUGGCACUUUUUAAAUCCAUAUCCACCUUGUGUGCAAUGUCGGUCGAUCUUUCUUCUUGGAAGAUCAACCAAACAUCAACUUAUUUUUUUAACUCUUUGUCUGAAAAAUAUUAUGAAUAAACAAUUCAAAAUACAACUUUCAACAACGGAUCUCUUGGCUCUC